UUGCAUGUGGAAAUGUCUCUUCCUCCUUCCUUUAGGGACAUAUCCGUAGCAUGCUGCACUGAAAGUUGUCAGAGCUGCCACCCUAAUAGUAGAAGUUGAGAGGUGGUGUAUUUCUCCUACAUGA
ensembl:snoRNA